rnacentral:rRNA from 1 species
AGAGUUUGAUCAUGGCUCAGGACGAACGCUGGCGGCGUGCUUCACACAUGCAAGUCGAACGAGGUCCAUCCGGUGGCAACACUGGAGAAGACCUAGUGGCGAACGGGUGCGUAACACGUGAGCAACCUGCCCCGAAGACCGGGAUAACAGCGGGAAACCGCUGCUAAUACCGGAUGCCCCCAUCGGGCCACAUGGCCUGA